rnacentral:lncRNA from 1 species
AGUAUAGCACAAGCAAGAUUUGGUCAAUGAAACCAAAAUUCUCAAAAUUCUCUGCGCGAGCUCAGACCUUCAGAAAUCAAGUAAGAUCCCCACAAAUCCUGGCUGUCUGUCAAGAAAACACUUUGAAAUUACUGGAUUGCCAGAAAGGAAGAAACCAGGUGAGAAUCCAGUUUUACAGCACAGCAUCCAGACGUCCUCACACUUGAAAGGUGCCUGCUGGCCAUUAUUGCUGCAGAGGUGUUACAGACGAAUGCAUACCUGUAGACCUGGACAACAUUCACCUUACAUCCUGACAGGAGAUUCUCAUAGACUGAUGUGUGAUCACAUACUUAAUGCUUCUGUGUUGCUGAGGCUCUCCUCUACUGCUUGAUUCUACGCUUGCUUCUGUCCCCAUCCAACUAUCCACUCCUUUGCAUUCUGACUCCUGCCUCAGUUCUUCCUCUCCAGGCACAUUAUUGCUGU